rnacentral:rRNA from 1 species
AACGUAGGAGACAAACGUUAUCCGGAGUUACUGGGCGUAAAGGGCGUGUAGGCGGUUUGUUAAGUCUGGCGUGAAAGCUCUCGGCUAAACCGGGAGAGGUCGUUGGAUACUGGCGAACUAGAGGAUGGUAGAGGCGUGUGGAAUUCCGGGUGUAGCGGUGAAAUGCGUAGAUAUCCGGAGGAACACCGGUGGCGAAGGCGGCUUCCUGGACCGACCACUGACGCUGAGGCGCGAAGCC